UGGUGGAGUGAUUUGUCUGGUUAAUUCCGAUAACGAACGAGACCUUAACCUGCUAACUAGUCUUGCUCAUUACAUGGGCACUGACUUCUUAGAGGGACUAUGUGUCGAAAGCACAUGGAAGUUUGAGGCAAUAACA
rnacentral:rRNA from 1 species